rnacentral:rRNA from 1 species
ACGGGUGNGUAAUGCCUAGGAAUCUGCCUGGUNGUGGGGGAUAACGUUCGGAAACGGACGCUAAUACCGCAUACGUCCUACGGGAGAAAGCAGGGGACCUUCGGGCCUUGCGCUAUCAGAUGAGCCUAGGUCGGAUUAGCUAGUUGGUGGGGUAAUGGCUCACCAAGGCGACGAUCCGUAACUGGUCUGAGAGGAUGAUCAGUCACACUGGAACUGAGACACGGUCCAGACUCCUACGGGAGGCAGCAGUGGGGAAUAUUGGACAAUGGGCGAAAGCCUGAUCCAGCCAUGCCGCGUGUGUGAAGAAGGUCUUCGGAUUGUAAAGCACUUUAAGUUGGGAGGAAGGGCAGUUGCCUAAUACGUAACUGUUUUGACGUUACCGACAGAAUAAGGCACCGGCUAACUCUGUGCCAGCCAGCCGCGGUAAUACAGAGGGUGCAAGCGUUAAUC